AGCUUCCAAUUCAAAACCUCCUCCUCGGAUGCUGGCGUGAAGAGGCAAAGGGGAAAGAGCUGAAAGUGAGAGGGAGAGAACGGGGAAGAAGAGGUCCUGAGUGGUAACAAUUUGUCCCGUCAGCAGUACCAUCCUGAGGUGCUGGAGCCUCAAGGGAGGGCCACACUCAAGGGAGCCAGAGGAGGCCUCAUUCUACAGCCCACUGCCCGGGGGCCAGUGUUGGCCCUGCACAUCCAGCUUGACCUGUUUGGUCCAGAAAGAGGAAGCAUCCUGCAGACCCUGGUGCUAUUCUGGCCAGCCAGAAGAAGACACGCACUCAGCAUUUCAGUGAACGCAGCUUGAAGCCACCUCAGCACCGUGGCCGCCCUCCCCCACUGCUGGCCCAGGUGGACUUCGCUGCCAUACUCUCGCCCUCCCUGCUUCCUGACAAGCCAUGCUUCUUCCAUUCAGUACCUGGGACUGUGCUUUCUGCACCUUAGUGAAGACUUAACAUGUAUCAGGUUAAAUCCUCAUUUUCUCCCUCCUCUUGAGAUUAUUUUAGACCCAAAUUUUGCCCUAAUGCACGAGCUUUUCCUUACGGCUCUGUGGUACCUCAGAUUUGAUCAGGAUACCUCUCCUGUUGUCAUUUGGUCAGAGAUAAAAAUGGACUUGCUGGAGGGUGCUACCUAAUACAGAAGAAUGAAUGUCUGCAAUUUGUCCCUCCCUCUCCUCAUAGCAACCUGAAUAUACUGACCUCUAAUCAUCU